GAUAGCCAUGCAUGUCUCAGUACAAGCCAAAUUAAGGUGAAACCGCGAAAGGCUCAUUAAAUCAGUUAUGGUUCCUUAGAUCGUACCCACACUUACUUGGAUAACUGUGGUAAUUCUAGAGCUAAUACAUGCAAACAGAGCUCCGACCGGAGACGGAAGGAGCGCUUUUAUUAGAUCAAAACCAAUCGGUGGCGGGUCCGCUCGUCAUCGUACAACUUGGUGACUCUGAAUAACUUUACGCUGAUCGCACGGUCUCGCACCGGCGACGCAUCUUUCAAAUGUCUGCCUUAUCAACUGUCGAUGGUAGGUUCUGCGCCUACCAUGGUUGUAACGGGUAACGGGGAAUCAGGGUUCGAUUCCGGAGAGGGAGCCUGAGAAACGGCUACCACAUCCAAGGAAGGCAGCAGGCGCGCAAAUUACCCACUCCCGGCACGGGGAGGUAGUGACGAAAAAUAACGAUACGGGACUCAUCCGAGGCCCCGUAAUCGGAAUGAGUACACUCUAAACCCUUUAACGAGGAUCAAUUGGAGGGCAAGUCUGGUGCCAGCAGCCGCGGUAAUUCCAGCUCCAAUAGCGUAUAUUAAAGUUGUUGCGGUUAAAAAGCUCGUAGUCGAAUCUGUGUCCCGCGCCGCCGGUUCAUCGUCCGCGGUGUUAACUGGCGUGUCGCGGGACGUCCUGCCGGUGGGCUUAGCUCGCAAGGGCGGCCCAACUCAAUCCCGCCGCGGUGCUCUUCACUGAGUGUCGAGGUGGGCCGGCACGUUUACUUUGAACAAAUUAGAGUGCUUAAGCAGGCUAAAACUUCGCCUGAAUACUGUGUGCAUGGAAUAAUGGAAUAGGACCUCGGUUCUAUUUUGUUGGUUUUCGGAACCCCGAGGUAAUGAUUAAUAGGAACGGAUGGGGGCAUUCGUAUUGCGACGUUAGAGGUGAAAUUCUUGGAUCGUCGCAAGACGGACAGAAGCGAAAGCAUUUGCCAAAAACGCUUUCAUUGAUCAAGAACGAAGUUAGAGGUU
rnacentral:rRNA from 1 species